rnacentral:snRNA from 1 species
GGUUAUGUGCAGUGGCAGUAUCAUAAUUUGUGAGGUUAAACUGUGGCAUGAUUCUUGCUAACUGAAAACUUUAGCUGAGGCUCUCAACUGCAGCACUUUCAAGAACGAUGCACUUU